AAAAGAUAAGGGCAGAGGAGGCAGCAAAUAGCCUUCUAUAGCCAGAGAAUACAGCAUCUUCAAUGGCAAAAGAGUAAGACUGUGACCCUACUAUUUCGACUGAACUGAACUGAACCCACAGUAGCAUUUCUUUCAAAAUUGGAGUCAAUCGUCUCAAACCCUGCUGUUGUUGUAUUGUUUACAUAAUAUUCUAAAUCCUUUGUUGUCAUUUCAGCAUUUUCAUAGCACCUUAACCAGGAAUAGAUUGCAUCUCAAGAAACCACUCUGUUGAUCCAUAAGAAGUGACUCCUCAUCUAUUUGAAGUUUUAUUGUGAGAUUGCAACAAUUCCGUCCCAUCUUCAGGCUCCACAUCUAGUGCUAGUUCUUUUGCUACUUCCACCACAUCUACCGUUACUUCGUCUACUGAAAUCUUGAACUCCUCAAAGUCAUCCAUGAAGUUGGAGUCACCUUCUUCCAAGUUCUAUUAAUGUGGACAGAGUUCUGAACAAAAGCACUAUAGUUGAACAGGUAAGGGGCAGGAUUCUCUGAGGCAGACCUUUAUGUAUGAUUAUAAUAACAAAAACAACAGAAAGCAAGUCAAAGAGUUUGAACAUGGAGUCAGAAUUGACUUCUUGCAACAUUUUUUUUUAAUGUGACAACUUGGUGCUUUACCCCAUAAAAAUAUCUUAGGAAGGUAAAUUACUGUUAACU
ensembl:lncRNA